rnacentral:lncRNA from 1 species
AGUCCCCCUCCACCCUCACCCGUGGUUAAGCCACCAUACUACUACAAAUCUCCCCCACCACCCUCACCCGUGGUUAAGCCUCCAUACUAUUACAAUUCUCCACCUCCACCAUCACCCUCUCCCCCUCCUCCAUACUAUUACAAAUCUCCACCUCCACCAUCACCUUCUCCUCCACCUCCUUACUACUACAAGAGCCCCCCACCACCAUCACCCUCUCCUCCUCCUCCGUACUAUUAUAAAUCUCCCCCACCGCCAUCACCCGUAGUUAAGCCUCCAUACUAUUACAAAUCUCCACCUCCACCAUCCCCUUCUCCACCACCUCCUUACUACUACAAGAGUCCCCCUCC